rnacentral:rRNA from 1 species
UACGUAGGGACCAAGCGUUGUUCGGAUUUACUGGGCGUAAAGGGCGCGUAGGCGGCGUGUUAAGUCAGCUGUGAAAUCUCCAAGCUUAACUUGGAACGGUCAGCUGAUACUGAUGUGCUAGAGUGCAGAAGGGGCAAUCGGAAUUCUCGGUGUAGCGGUGAAAUGCGUAGAUAUCGAGAGGAACACCUGCGGCGAAGGCGGGUUGCUGGGCUGACACUGACGCUGAAGUGCGAAAGCUAGGGGAGCGAACGGG